rnacentral:rRNA from 1 species
UGGGGGAUAUUGCACAAUGGGCGAAAGCCUGAUGCAGCGACGCCGCGUGGGGGAUGAAGGCUUUCGGGUUGUAAACCUCUUUCGCUAUCGAACAAGGCCCGCUUAGGGUGGGUUGAGGGUAGGUGGAGAAGAAGCGCCGGCUAACUACGUGCCAGCAGCCGCGGUAAUACGUAGGGCGCGAGCGUUGUCCGGAAUUAUUGGGCGUAAAGGGCUUGUAGGCGCCUUGUUGCGCCUGCUGUGAAAACGCGGGGCUUAACUUCGCGCGUGCAGUGGGUACGGGCAGGCUUGAGUGUGGUAGGGGUGACUGGAAUUCCAGGUGUAGCGGUGGAAUGCGCAGAUAUCUGGAGGAACACCGAUGGCGAAGGCAGGUCACUGGGCCAUUACUGACGCUGAGGAGCGAAAGCAUGGGUAGCGAACAGG